rnacentral:rRNA from 1 species
CUGGGACGUCACUGACGCUCAUGCACGAAAGCGUGGGGAGCAAACACGGAUUAAAUACCCUGGUAGUCCACGCCCUAAACGAUGUCAACUAGUUGUUGGGGAUUCAUUUCUUCUUAACGUAGCUAACGCGUGAAGUUGACCGCCUGGGGAGUACGGUCGCAAGAUUAAAACUCCUCCGAAUUGACGGCGACCCGCAC